CGGCGUGGUUUCUUCUUCUUCCUCCUUCGGUGUUGAUUGGAAUCGAGUCUAACCCAUGAAGCUUGGCGAUGAGGGAGAUUAUGUUUCAGUCUAACCCAUGAACAUUGUCUCAGCUUCGAAGAGAUUCUAUUUUGGGGACAUUGUCCGAAGGGAAAUUGUGAACUGUGGGCUUGGUAGUGCAUGCUUGUUGCGAGUUGGAAUAGAGGUUUCGAUUUGUCCCAAGAGAUAAUAUGGGCUUGGUAGUGCAUGGUUGUUGCGAGUUAGAAAAGAGGUUUCAGUUUGUUGGAAAGAGAUUAAGACAUAAGACAAAAAAGAACCAAAAGACAUGAAAGAACAAAAGGCAUGGAAGUUAUGGGCUUGGUA